rnacentral:rRNA from 1 species
CCUACGGGAGGCAGCAGUGAGGAAUAUUGGUCAAUGGGCGCGAGCCUGAACCAGCCAAGCAGCGUGAAGGAUGACGGCUCUACGGGUUGUAACCUUCUUUUAUAAGGGAGUAAAGUGAGGCACGUGUGCCUUUUUGUAUGUACUUUAUGAAUAAGGCUCGGCUAACUCCGUGCCAGCAGCCGCGGUAAUACGGAGGAUCCGAGCGUUAUCCGGAUUUACUGGGUUUAACGGGAGCGUAGAUGGGAUGUUAAGUCAGUUGUGAAAGUUUGGGGCUCAACCGUAAAAUUGCAAUUGAUACUGGUAGCCUUGAGUACAGGAGAGGUAGGCGGAAUUCGUGGUGUAGCGGUGAAAUGCGUAGAUAUUACGAAGAACUCCGAUGGCGAAGGCAGCCUACUAAACUGCCACUGACGUUGAGGCUCGAAAGUGUGGGGAGCAAACAGGAUUAGAUACCCGUGUAGUC